UGGGGAAUAUUGGACAAUGGGCGAAAGCCUGAUCCAGCCAUGCCGCGUGUGUGAAGAAGGUCUUCGGAUUGUAAAGCACUUUAAGUUGGGAGGAAGGGCAGUAAGCUAAUACCUUGCUGUUUUGACGUUACCGACAGAAUAAGCACCGGCUAACUUCGUGCCAGCAGCCGCGGUAAUACGAAGGGUGCAAGCGUUAAUCGGAAUUACUGGGCGUAAAGCACGCGUAGGUGGUUCGUUAAGUUGGAUGUGAAAGCCCCGGGCUCAACCUGGGAACUGCAUCCAAAACUGGCGAGCUAGAGUAUGGUAGAGGGUGGUGGAAUUUCCUGUGUAGCGGUGAAAUGCGUAGAUAUAGGAAGGAACACCAGUGGCGAAGGCGACCACCUGGACUGAUACUGACACUGAGGUGCGAAAAGCGUGGGGAGCAAAACAGGAUUUAGAUACCCUGGUAGUCCACGCCGUAAACGUGUCAACUAGCCGUUGGGUUCCUUGAGAACUUAGUGGCGCAGCUAACGCAUUAAGUUGACCGCCUGGGGAGUACGGCCGCAAGGUUAAAACUUAAAGGGAAUUGACGGGGUCAUAGCUGUUUCCU
rnacentral:rRNA from 1 species